CUACAGCGUAUGAUAGACACGGCCGCUGUGUAAGAUAUGCGGAGCUAUGCUAAUAACAUUUUAUCGCUGGCCUACCGUCUGUCUAGUUUACGAAGUAAACGAGGAAACGUGGUCCUCAACGACCUUCUUGAUCUGCGACUCGAUCUCGGGGGUGAUCUGACCCUUGGAGAUCUCCUGGAGGAGCGCGCCGUGGGUGGCGGUGAGG
rnacentral:misc_RNA from 1 species